AGUUAUGUAUAUUUGAACUUUGAACAAGACUAUGCCACAUGCCAUAUGUUACGUGAAACAAUUCAAGUGCUGCUUGCGAUAUUCCCUGGUCAUGUAGGCCUUUUGGUGAUUAGAAUUUCAAUAGCAGAACUAGUAAAGCCGUGGUCGAAGUGUUAUUCCCCACGUACACAUACAGUAUGAUGCAAAGAAAAAUUGCAAUUAAAAUAAACGGUCUUUUUCUUAAUUGAAAUCUUGCGUAAAUUUUGGGUCACUGUUAUGAAUAACGUUUGCACCAAGGUUUUGGAUUUUGUUAGUGUGUAUGUACACAAUGUGUAUGUAUGUAUGUGUAAAGUGAUGAGGAAACCGCUUCCUAUGAAUUUUAGUAAUAAAUAAAUAGUAAUAUUAAGAAAUGACGCAAGAACUAAUAAUUUUUACAGAUACACAUAUUCUCGUGCACACACACACACACACAGAGGCUGGCAGGCAAAUAGCAAGCAAAUUAUUCAAUUUCUAUUGUUUCUCACUAAUUUUUAACAAAAUUUUUUUGUUAAUUAUAUUUUCCAAUAGAAAUGAAUUUGCUGAUUUAAAAUCUGUUAUUAAGUCUAGUACCAAGUUAUCUAUACGAGAUUUGAGGAAUUUGUUGGUACUACAAUUAGAAUUUGACAUUCUGUGGGCACUAGCAACUCUUUCCAAUCCGUAAGAGAAUAAAAAAUCUCACUCAAUGGGUAGACUCCCCUAUUUUCUAACUUAGCAUCUUACCUAAACAUGGACUAAUUAGUUUCAAACAAAAACUAUGUGUUUUUUGUUUAUGCAAAGUCGGGGGCCAGUGUUGUCAACGUUUCUGCAAAGAUUAGGGCCUUGAUGUAUCCAAUCUAUCUUCAAACGUUUUAAUCGCAAGCCGUUUAAUUUACUUUUCCCGUAGUUUUUCUUCAGGUUUCUCGCCAAUCGAGUAUUUAUUGAAGAAUUUGGAAGAUCUGUCCUUUUGAGCGCGGUUGCGUAUUCUCACAUUUUUAAAGCGAUAAGUAAUCGAGCAAAAGAUUUUAUUAUCAUUCUUUACGUUCGGGGUUCUCAACCAACGGAAAACAUCAUUCUUUGCUUUUAGGAAUUCAACAAGAGGGAAGUAGGCUCACCAAGCUAAGUUAAGCUCGGGGAAGAAUUUAUACUUAACAUUAUAAAUUAUUUCGCCAAAGAGAAUUUAUGCCCAGCAGCAGAAAAUUAAAAUUACGGUAUGGAAGACAAAGACGAUUCCGUGAAAAAAGUGCGAGCAAAUAUAAAAAAACUGCUCCUGAAGAAAACCAACCAAGUUGUACAAGCGUAGCUUAAAAGAUGGCUAUCACAGAUGAAUUAAGUGACGUAACUAAACAAUUAAUAUUCAAAGUUUCUAUCGAAUCGUUUACGAAAAUUAUCAAUUUUUUUGAUUGAAACCGGUAGGAAAAUGGUUUUAAACAUUUCAACAAAAACAAGAACAAGAAAAUGUGCAAGUAGAAUAUAGUGGCAAGGUUCUCAUGUGUCUGAAAAGCAACCUUUGUUUUCGGUUGGCUUGGCAUCGCCUGUGUGAUGCGAUUCAGUAUUGGUUGAUGACUGUAGCUUUUUUUGUAUCACAUAGCCAGAACAGCUGCUAAAUACACUCUCCCCCACUUCUCAAAUUAUAAGAAAGCAAAGUAGUUUAUUCCAAAUUCCGCGUUCAAGCUUGGAAAUUGGUUUGGCUUGCUUGGCCAGCAGCAACUGGCAAAGUUUUGAACGUAUAUGGCAAGGCAUUAAUAGGCAAUACGGACACCGUGCAAGCUAAACAUGUUCCAAGAAUGUUUUUGAAUUCUGGCAAAUUAAAGAAGAAGUAAACAAUCUAUCUUCGAAUUCUGGCAAAUUGAAGGAGAAGUAAACAAUCUAUCCUCGAAUUCUGGCAAAUUAAAGGAUAAGUGGAUGAGCGACCAUUUGUUAGAAUGCAAAUAUUGAAAAUAUUUAUUCUCCUCCAAUAGGAUGGCUUAUAUAUCCACUUAAACAAACUUAACAAAUAACAACGUGAAGGUCGUGAAGGACUGACGGCAUCAUCUCCAUUAUCGUCUUCUCCUCCGCCACCGUUAAAGGAAUUGUGAUGGCGUCUUUGGAAGUUGAUGGCAUACUUAACACUAAAACUACCGACAUUUCAUGUAAUCCUACCUUGAGCGGUCAAUUGACCGCUUCAAAAGAACUUAACGGGUAUCCACUAUCACCUGAAGUAUGAAGAUACAUAGUGCUUAAGUUAUUGCGCUGCUUACCAACCUGCAUUACUUUGAUCGUCAUCUCAAAUGUCUUCCAGGAAGGCUCUUCCAUGCGUGCCAGUCGCCGUUUGAUCCCGAAUAUAUAAAAUCAAUGGACAACAGUUUCAUCUCGUGGUCGCAAACCUAUGAAUAAAUCACUUAUAUGAACAUACAAGAAAACGUACCCGAAUAUUAACCACCAUUCCAUUUAAACUGUGUUUGCUGUCUACGCAUCCAAUCACUU